UGGUCUGAGAGGAUGAUCAGCCACACUGGAACUGAGACACGGUCCAGACUCCUACGGGAGGCAGCAGUGGGGAAUUUUGGACAAUGGGGGCAACCCUGAUCCAGCCAUUCCGCGUGAGUGAAGAAGGCCUUCGGGUCGUAAAGCUCUUUCGGCAGGAACGAAACGGUUUGGGUUAAUACCCUGAGCUAAUGACGGUACCUGAAGAAGAAGCACCGGCUAACUACGUGCCAGCAGCCGCGGUAAUACGUAGGGUGCGAGCGUUAAUCGGAAUUACUGGGCGUAAAGCGUGCGCAGGCGGUUUUGUAAGACAGAUGUGAAAUCCCCGGGCCUAACCUGGGAACUGCGUUUGUGACUGCAAGACUUGAGUGCGGCAGAGGGGGGUGGAAUUCCACGUGUAGCAGUGAAAUGCGUAGAGAUGUGGAGGAACACCGAUGGCGAAGGCAGCCCCCUGGGUCGACACUGACGCUCAUGCACGAAAGCGUGGGUAGCAAACAGGAUUAGAUACCCUGGUAGUCCACGCCCUAAACGAUGCGAACUAGGUGUUGGGGAAGGAGACUUUCUUAGUACCGCAGCUAACGCGUGAAGUUCGCCGCCUGGGGAGUACGGUCGCAAGAUUAAAACUCAAAGGAAUUGACGGGGACCCGCACAAGCGGUGGAUGAUGUGGAUUAAUUCGAUGCAACGCGAAAAACCUUACCUACCCUUGACAUGCCAGGAAUCCUGUAGAGAUAUGGGAGUGCUCGAAAGAGAGCCUGGACACAGGUGCUGCAUGGCUGUCGUCAGCUCGUGUCGUGAGAUGUUGGGUUAAGUCCCGCAACGAGCGCAACCCUUGUCAUUAGUUGCCAUCAUUUAGUUGGGCACUCUAAUGAGACUGCCGGUGACAAACCGGAGGAAGGUGGGGAUGACGUCAAGUCCUCAUGGCCCUUAUGGGUAGGGCUUCACACGUCAUACAAUGGUCGGUACAGAGGGUUGCCAAGCCGCGAGGUGGAGCCAAUCCCAGAAAGCCGAUCGUAGUCCGGAUCGGAGUCUGCAACUCGACUCCGUGAAGUCGGAAUCGCUAGUAAUCGUGGAUCAGCAUGCCACGGUGAAUACGUUCCCAGGUCUUGUACACACCGCCCGUCACACCAUGGGAGUGGGUUUCACCAGAAGUAGGUAGCCUAACCGCAAGGAGGGCGCUUACCACGGUGGGAUUCAUGACUGGGGUGAAGUCGUAACAAGGUA
rnacentral:rRNA from 1 species